rnacentral:rRNA from 1 species
CCUACGGGAGGCAGCAGUAAGGAAUAUUGGUCAAUGGACGAAAGUCUGAACCAGCCAUGCCGCGUGAAGGAUGACGGCCCUCUGGGUUGUAAACUUCUUUUAUAGGGGACGAAAAAAGGGUAUUCUUACUCACUUGACGGUACCCUAGGAAUAAGCACCGGCUAACUCCGUGCCAGCAGCCGCGGUAAUACGGAGGGUGCAAGCGUUAUCCGGAUUCACUGGGUUUAAACGGGUGCGUAGGUGGGUCUAUAAGUCAGUGGUGAAAUCUCCGAGCUUAACUCGGAAACUGCCAUUGAUACUAUAGGCCUUGAAUUAUCUGGAGGUAAGCGGAAUAUGUCAUGUAGCGGUGAAAUGCUUAGAUAUGACAUAGAACACCAAUUGCGAAGGCAGCUUACUACGGAUAUAUUGACACUGAGGCACGAAAGCGUGGGGAUCAAACAGGAUUAGAUACCCUGGUAGUCCACGCCCUAAACUAUGGAUACUCGACAUCAGCGAUACACUGUUGGUGUCUGAGCGAAGCAUUAAGAUCCACCUGGAAGUACGACCGCAGUUGAACUUAAGGAUUGACGNGNGAGCGNGCGAGACGACGAGAGGAGAG